GCCCUCUUGGAUGAGCUGGUACUAUCACCCAUUAGCCGCCAAUAACCUCUGGAACCAAUUAAAAGGGAGGCGAAGGUUCGAAUCCUCCCGAGGGUA